CCAUGUGAUGGAUGUAUGCAUGAAUGCUUCCCUGUUGACUAAUUAUAUAGAUGUAUAUGCAAGAGUUACAAUAGGGGUUGAGUAUCCCUAAUGUAUUAUAUUAUUAGCUGUAUCUUUCUUUUGUAUGUUCUCAACUAUUGAUUGAGACUUUUAUAUAUUGAUAUAAAAUUAUAAAAAAAAAUUAUUUGAGAAUAGAUAAAAAUUAUCUCUUUCUAUUUUCAGAUAAAGAUCGAGUAUUCAUGGAAGUCUUCAUGGAGAUGAAGACUGGACUACCAGA
rnacentral:lncRNA from 1 species